UACAGAGGUCCCGAGCGUUGUUCGGAUUCAUUGGGCGUAAAGGGUGCGCAGGCGGCCGUGUGUGUGAGGCGUGAAAGCCUGGAGCUUAACUCCAGAAUUGCACCUCAAACUACACGGCUAGAGCAUUGGAGAGGGUAGCAGAAUUCACGGUGUAGCAGUGAAAUGCGUAGAUAUCGUGAGGAAUACCAGAGGCGAAGGCGGCUACCUGGACAAUUGCUGACGCUCAGGCACGAAAGCGUGGGGAGCAAAAGGG
rnacentral:rRNA from 1 species